UACGUAGGGUGCAAGCGUUAAUCGGAAUUACUGGGCGUAAAGCGUGCGCAGGCGGUUUUGUAAGUCUGUCGUGAAAUCCCCGGGCUCAACCUGGGAAUUGCGAUGGGAGACUGCAAGGCUAGAAUCUGGCAGAGGGGGGUAGAAUUCCACGUGUAGCAGUGAAAUGCGUAGAGAUGUGGAGGAACACCGAUGGCGAAGGCAGCCCCCUGGGUCAAGAUUGACGCUCAUGCACGAAAGGCGUGGGGAGCAAACAGG
rnacentral:rRNA from 1 species